AUACUAUGAUGGUUGCAUGGUUCAGCAGUUUGAAUUCUGAAGAGAAGUAUCUGGUCUGAUGUAAAA
ensembl:snoRNA